GCUGCCUGAAGUACCCCUAGGUCCCUGAGCAUGAAUUUAAAGUGGAAGGCGUCCCCCUGAUCGACUGCUUUCCCCAGGGAUGCUGGCCGCCAAGGUGCAGGGUUGUUGAGAAGAGGACAGGCGGAGUAUGGAGGAAACAGCAGAAGUGGAGGUCGUUGGUGACCCCGAGACCAGCAGAUGGCAGCCACCGGGAGUGACAGCAGGUGAUGUGGCUGGGUCUCGAGUGAGAAGGGAAGAGAAAUGUCUUAGAAGCAGCCUUGGCAAGCAUGGAGGAGGCUGAGCCCACCUUAGCCUCAGGGCUUUGUGGGGCGUCAGAGAAGAAAGCCCCCCCAGCCCCCCGCGGAAGGCACCAGGUGAGGCGGUGAACCAGGAGCUUCAGGCAACUGCUGGGUUGAGAACUCCCCCUGGUGGCUGAGGCAAGAAGUUCCAUGGAGAGCACCCGCAAAACGUUGCACCUGGAGACCAGGUGGCCACGGGUCACCGAAUGCCUGCAGCUGAGGGGUUGGGGCAGUUGGAACAACAACGAAGCCCAGGUGCAUUUCCCAUUCCUUUCCCAUUAUUGUUACCUGUGGGAAGAUUCCAGCCCAAU